GAUGAACUUAAUUCCUGGUAAUGGGCCAGGUGAAUAUUGUUUGGAAAGUGGAAUGCACCUGUUUGAAUAGAAUAAUUAGCAUUUGUGAGAUUCAGAUGUGCAUGUAGAUUUCAAAAAUUCUCUCUCUGUUGUUUAGAUAUUUCUGAAUAUUUAUUUUUUGGAUUUCAAUAUUUAAGUUAGUACAUGGGAAUAGCUGUCGGCAAACAGUGGAUAUCCAUUAACCAUUUUGUUUUCAGUAUCAAUAUGUGCACGGCACAUGUUUUACAUAUUUCAACAUUAAGCACUGUGAUGGGAGGUGACAUAUUUUUAGCUAAUUGGUUGGUUGAUGUUAAUGCCAUCUUCAAGUCCUAUAAUACCAUCCUUUGCCUUUGUAUAUUAUUUCUUAUAACUUCAGCAGUGCUUGGGUGUCAUACAGAAACUAGUAAAUUUUGUUUGAUGUUGAGGCACAUUUUCAAUACCAAAUAUAUUUAUGUAUAAGCAUAGAAAGAAAUCUUAAGAAAUGUCCAAUCAAAUCCUAUUUGCCAGUAUUCAUCCACAGUUAAUACAAUAUUAUCAUAUUGAACUCUUUCUUAUCAAAACAAUUGAGUGCCAUGCUGUUUAGGAAAACAUUUUGUAAGGAUUGUAUGUAAAGUAUAUACCUUUAUGUAUGUUGUUUACAUGUCCAAUGUAGAAGGUUCUAGACUUUUGCGAAUUCUAUGAUAUUGAAAAACUCAGUCCCAUUAUUAAAUGCGUAUGUUCAUUGAGAACUGAGUGAUGCAUCAUUUUCCAAGUCAAUAAACACUCUGCUGUUUAAUGUUGUAAAAUUGCUUUUACCCCUCUGUUAUUGGAGAGUUGUGGCGACAACCAUCGAUUAUAUAAUAACGAAGCCUGCUCUAACCAUGAGACAUGUUCUAUACUAGUUUACCUUGAUUGAAGUUAUGCACGGAUUGAUUGACCUUUUAAGUUUUGUUGUUACGCUAAAUCUGCAGGUUUUGGAUGAAAUUCAUCGC
rnacentral:misc_RNA from 1 species